AAAGUCGUAACAAGGUCUCCGUAGGUGAACCUGCGGAGGGAUCAUUUCAGGAUUUGGGUGUGUUGAUUCAUUUAUUUGAGUUGACACAUAUACCUAUUUCGAUGAGCACCAGAGUAUAAAAGUUGGGUUGUUGAAAGAUGACCCAAAUGAUUUAACACCGUUUAUUAAGAAACAAACCAGUAUGAUAUAAUUAUUAUAAAAUACAACUUUUAACAACGGAUCUCUAGGCUCUU
rnacentral:misc_RNA from 1 species